rnacentral:lncRNA from 1 species
ACCAGCAGUGGGGUCAGAACCCUUUGCACAGACGUGUCCUCUGCCUUCUCUAACUGGCGUCCCCCGGAUGAGAUAGCAUUUACUGCACAGCAAUGCUGAUUCAAAGUGCCAUCUAAACAGGCUUGGUCCUCAUGAUUGCAGGCUGCCCUUCUCUAUCCAAGGGGCUUUCCUGAAGCCUGGAUUAUCCUGCUUCAUUAUUGGGAAUUGCUAGACAGGGCAAACUCUUUCCCUCUGUUACACAGUUUGACCUCUCAGUUCACAGAAGCCAGCCUGGAAAGACAUUUACCCACUGUGAUGGCCCCUGUUCUUUCUCCUCUGGGUUCGUGUUAUGCUUCUCUCCUACUUCGAAGACAGUGUCUGGGCUUCACAAACCAGGCCUGCCUGUCUGAGCUCAGACUGCGAGGGACAGCUGCUUCUUCAUGCCCCACCAUCCACCACACUGACCACUCCUGGGGUAAGCGUUCAUGGAUGGUCCUCGGGGUCUGCUGGGUCUAAGUGCCAAAUGUCCUGGAGAAAAGAUUCCUUUGUCUUUGGAGGAGCCACCCUACCCCGUAUGCCCAAAGGACAGAUGAGUCUGGAUUCCAAGGCUUGCCAGUUCCCAGCUGUGUGGCUUUUAGAUUGUC